rnacentral:rRNA from 1 species
AUGACUGGCGUGUGGGUAUUCGAGGACGGGAUCGUGAGGCGGGCGGACAGCGAGGCGCCCGGCCGCAGCGGCGGGAGCGGGGCGCGGCCGGGCAAAGUGCUGGUGCAUGUGCCGAGCGGCGAGGUGGUGACCACGUACGGCGUCCUGGAGCGACGGCUGCAGGAGCUGGGGUGGGAGCGCUACCUCAACGACCCGUGCCUGCUCCAGUUCCACCAGCGCUCCACCGUGCACCUCAUCUCCGUCCCGCGAGACUUCGCCCGCCUCAAGCUCGUCCACAUGUACGACGUCGUCGUCAAGACGCGCAACGUGUUCGAGGUCCGCGACGCGUGA